CCUCUUCGUCUUGUUGAGCUCAGACUCUGUAACUGUGCGUUUAGUUGUGCGCCAGCGUCGUCGGCUCUUUCUCCGAUCAGUCUCUUUUAAAUUGUUUUGAAAAUUAGGGUUUGUAGUAAUGGAAGAUGAACGUCGAAUGUCAAUGCGAACUCGUAAGGUUGCUCCUAAAAUGGCUGCGGCACUUGGCAGCGCCGACAAUCGAACUCAGGCAGCUCUUGCUCGCCUAGAAGCUCUGGAAAAUGAUAAUGCCGGAAUUGAACAUGUUGAAAUUAAUGAUGAUGAUGAUGAAGCUUCUCUUGAUGAUGAUGAUGAAGGUUAUGUACAAAAGAGGCAAUCCAAGGGUACUAAACGCAAAACCCGGCAAGCUAAAGCACUUGAGGAUGCUAGGAAGGCCCCAAGGACUUUCCUUGAGCUCUUACAUGAGCAGGCAAACCUUGAAUCCUUGCCUCCACAUAUUCCAUCCUAUUUGAGGGCAGCUGUGGGACCUCCAAGUUCUACGUCUCGUCGCCAUUUCUGCACGGUUUGUGGAUUUACUGCCAGCUAUACUUGUGUCAAGUGUGGAAUGCGCUUUUGUUCCAUCCGUUGCCAGACUAUACAUGAUGAUACUCGAUGUCUCAAAUUUGUCGCCUGAGUAGUUAGAAACCUGAGCUGGAUAGAAUUUGUAAACAAUAGAUCAAACUUGAAGGUUGUUGGCACUUGUCUUAAUAAAGAUUCAUCAAGGUGUUUUAUUAGCCAUUGAAAAACCUUAUCUUACUCUGAUGGUUAUGGUCAUUAUCUGUCCAGAGGAGCUAAAUUAUCUUCACACUUGUCAUAAGAAGUUGAAUAUAUGCCAGAUGGUGAUCACAAUUCCUUGCAAUCUGCACCACCUUCCCACAGGAAGCUAUAUUUAAUCAGGGGAUGCUAUCAACCGAUGCUUUGUUGAUAAACUUAACAUCGCGGCAGAUCCAGUGGUGGAGGCUGUACAGACUGCAAUUUCCCAACUCCAUUCUCGACUAAGAAAGCCAUUGCUAGACCCCAAGUUAAAUGAGAAUCUAUGUGGCAAUGCAUCAGCCAAAUACCUGUUUUUCCAGGUGAGUUAGAGAAAAACUUAAAAUAUAGUCAAAACAUUACUGGGAAAAGAAAAUAAAUGUGCCUGUGUGUCUGCUCUUGAAUAUGGUGAUUUACCUGGAUUAUCAGCUACAAAUCGGAUGGCAACCCAUCCACCUGGAGGUGUUCCAAUGGUAUUUCUCUUUGGUGGGUCAACAAGGUUGAAGUUUGCUGGAUCUCUAU